rnacentral:rRNA from 1 species
AGUAAAAGUCGUAACAAGGUUUCCGUAGGUGAACCUGCGGAAGGAUCAUUAAAGAGUAAGGGUGCUCAGCGCCCGACCUCCAACCCUUUGUUGUUAAAACUACCUUGUUGCUUUGGCGGGACCGCUCGGUCUCGAGCCGCUGGGGAUUCGUCCCAGGCGAGCGCCCGCCAGAGUUAAACCAAACUCUUGUUAUUAAACCGGUCGUCUGAGUUAAAAUUUUGAAUAAAUCAAAACUUUCAACAACGGAUCUCUUGGUUCUCGCAUCGAUGAAGAACGCAGCGAAAUGCGAUAAGUAAUGUGAAUUGCAGAAUUCAGUGAAUCAUCGAAUCUUUGAACGCACAUUGCGCCCCUUGGUAUUCCGAGGGGCAUGCCUGUUCGAGCGUCAUUACACCACUCAAGCUAUGCUUGGUAUUGGGUGCCGUCCUUAGUUGGGCGCGCCUUAAAGACCUCGGCGAGGCCUCACCGGCUUUAGGCGUAGUAGAAUUUAUUCGAACGUCUGUCAAAGGAGAGGACUUCUGCCGACUGAAACCUUUUAUUUUUCUAGGUUGACCUCGGAUCAGGUAGGGAUACCCGCUGAACUUAAGCAUAUCAAUAAGCGGAGGA